AUGACCACCGGUACGUACUUUUAUAUUCCUUACAAACUUAUCCAAAUAGUACAAUUAUCUUUUCCUAUAAAAAAACAGAAAUUAUUAAAGUUUUUCGACCAGACAGUAUAUUCCUUCUCAUCUGCAGAUUUUUCUGACUUUAAAUUUCGCACAUCAUUAAUGCAUAUUUCAGAGAAGACACAAUCUUCUUCAUUGCCAGACUGCUCAGACUCUGAGCUCUGAACUAUGCAUAUCAUAGUGAAUCAGCUCAUCUUUUCCUUCACUUUCAUCAGAAAAAUCAACACAUUCCUCCCUCUCUUCAUCAGAUAAAUCCUGCAAGCACUGCAAAAUAUCCUCUGGUUCUGAAUAUUUCGUAGCCCUCAUCGAUAAGAAAAAUGUUAU
rnacentral:lncRNA from 1 species